GACGAACUUUGGCGGCGUGCUUAACACAUGCAAGUCGAACGGAAAGGCCCUGCUUUUGUGGGGUGCUCGAGUGGCGAACGGGUGAGUAACACGUGAGUAACCUGCCCUUGACUUUGGGAUAACUUCAGGAAACCGGGGCUAAUACCGGAUAGGAGCUCCUGCUGCAUGGUGGGGGUUGGAAAGUUUCGGCGGUUGGGGAUGGACUCGCGGCUUAUCAGCUUGUUGGUGGGGUAGUGGCUUACCAAGGCUUUGACGGGUAGCCGGCCUGAGAGGGUGACCGGCCACAUUGGGACUGAGAUACGGCCCAGACUCCUACGGGAGGCGGCAGUGGGGAAUAUUGCACAAUGGGCGGAAGCCUGAUGCAGCAACGCCGCGUGCGGGAUGACGGCCUUCGGGUUGUAAACCGCUUUCGCCUGUGACGAAGCGUGAGUGACGGUAAUGGGUAAAGAAGCACCGGCUAACUACGUGCCAGCAGCCGCGGUGAUACGUAGGGUGCGAGCGUUGUCCGGAUUUAUUGGGCGUAAAGGGCUCGUAGGUGGUUGAUCGCGUCGGAAGUGUAAUCUUGGGGCUUAACCCUGAGCGUGCUUUCGAUACGGGUUGACUUGAGGAAGGUAGGGGAGAAUGGAAUUCCUGGUGGAGCGGUGGAAUGCGCAGAUAUCAGGAGGAACACCAGUGGCGAAGGCGGUUCUCUGGGCCUUUCCUGACGCUGAGGAGCGAAAGCGUGGGGAGCGAACAGGCUUAGAUACCCUGGUAGUCCACGCUGUAAACGGUGGGUACUAGGUGUGGGGUCCAUUCCACGGGUUCCGUGCCGUAGCUAACGCUUUAAGUACCCCGCCUGGGGAGUACGGCCGCAAGGCUAAAACUCAAAGGAAUUGACGGGGCCCCGCACAAGCGGCGGAGCAUGCGGAUUAAUUCGAUGCAACGCGUAGAACCUUACCUGGGUUUGACAUGGAUCGGGAGUGCUCAGAGAUGGGUGUGCCUCUUUUGGGGUCGGUUCACAGGUGGUGCAUGCCUGUCGUCAGCUCGUGUCGUGAGAUGUUGGGUUAAGUCCCGCAACGAGCGCAACCCUUGUUCACUGUUGCCAGCACGUUAUGGUGGGGACUCAGUAGAGACCGCCGGGGUCAACUCGGAGGAAGGUGGGGAUGACGUCAAGUCCUCAUGCCCCUUAUGUCCAGGGCUUCACGCAUGCUACAAUGGCUGGUACAGAGAGUGGCGAGCCUGUGAGGGUGAGCGAAUCUCGGAAAGCCGGUCUCAGUUCGGAUUGGGGUCUGCAACUCGACCUCAUGAAGUCGGAGUCGCUAGUAAUCGCAGAUCAGCAACGCUGCGGUGAAUACGUUCCCGGGGC
rnacentral:rRNA from 1 species